rnacentral:rRNA from 1 species
GUGAUUCGUCACACUAUCAUUAACUGAAUCCAUAGGUUAAUGAGGCGAACCGGGGGAACUGAAACAUCUAAGUACCCCGAGGAAAAGAAAUCAACCGAGAUUCCCCCAGUAGCGGCGAGCGAACGGGGAGGAGCCCAGAGCCUGAAUCAGCAUGUGUGUUAGUGGAAGCGUCUGGAAAGGCGCGCGAUACAGGGUGACAGCCCCGUACACAAAAGCGCAUGUGCUGUGAGCUCGAUGAGUAGGGCGGGACACGUGGUAUCCUGUCUGAAUAUGGGGGGACCAUCCUCCAAGGCUAAAUACUCCUGACUGACCGAUAGUGAACCAGUACCGUGAGGGAAAGGCGAAAAGAACCCCGGCGAGGGGAGUGAAAAAGAACCUGAAACCGUGUACGUACAAGCAGUGGGAGCACCCUUUGGGUGUGACUGCGUACCUUUUGUAUAAUGGGUCAGCGACUUAUAUUCUGUAGCAAGGUUAACCGAAUAGGGGAGCCGGAGGGAAACCGAGUCUUAACCGGGCGUUAAGUUGCAGGGUAUAGACCCGAAACCCGGUGAUCUAGCCAUGGGCAGGUUGAAGGUUGGGUAACACUAACUGGAGGACCGAACCGACUAAUGUUGAAAAAUUAGCGGAUGACCUGUGGCUGGGGGUGAAAGGCCAAUCAAACCGGGAGAUAGCUGGUUCUCCCCGAAAGCUAUUUAGGUAGCGCCUCGUGAAUUCAUCUCCGGGGGUAGAGCACUGUUUCGGCUAGGGGGCCAUCCCGGCUUACCAACCCGAUGCAAACUGCGAAUACCGGAGAAUGUUAUCACGGGAGACACACGGCGGGUGCUAACGUCCGUCGUGAAGAGGGAAACAACCCAGACCGCCAGCUAAGGUCCCAAAGUCAUGGUUAAGUGGGAAACGAUGUGGGAAGGCCCAGACAGCCAGGAUGUUGGCUUAGAAGCAGCCAUCAUUUAAAGAAAGCGUAAUAGCUCACUGGUCGAGUCGGCCUGCGCGGAAGAUGUAACGGGGCUAAACCAUGCACCGAAGCUGCGGCAGCGACACUGUGUGUUGUUGGGUAGGGGAGCGUUCUGUAAGCCUGUGAAGGUGUGUCGUGAGGCAUGCUGGAGGUAUCAGAAGUGCGAAUGCUGACAUAAGUAACGAUAAAGCGGGUGAAAAGCCCGCUCGCCGGAAGACCAAGGGUUCCUGUCCAACGUUAAUCGGGGCAGGGUGAGUCGACCCCUAAGGCGAGGCCGAAAGGCGUAGUCGAUGGGAAACGGGUUAAUAUUCCCGUACUUGGUGUUACUGCGAAGGGGGGACGGAGAAGGCUAUGUUGGCCGGGCGACGGUUGUCCCGGUUUAAGCGUGUAGGUGUGUGUUCCAGGUAAAUCCGGUUCACUUUAACACUGAGGCGUGACGACGAGGCACUACGGUGCUGAAGCAACAAAUGCCCUGCUUCCAGGAAAAGCCUCUAAGCAUCAGGUAACAUCAAAUCGUACCCCAAACCGACACAGGUGGUCAGGUAGAGAAUACCAAGGCGCUUGAGAGAACUCGGGUGAAGGAACUAGGCAAAAUGGUGCCGUAACUUCGGGAGAAGGCACGCUGACACGUAGGUGAAGUGAUUUACUCAUGGAGCUGAAGUCAGUCGAAGAUACCAGCUGGCUGCAACUGUUUAUUAAAAACACAGCACUGUGCAAACACGAAAGUGGACGUAUACGGUGUGACGCCUGCCCGGUGCCGGAAGGUUAAUUGAUGGGGUCAGCGCAAGCGAAGCUCCUGAUCGAAGCCCCGGUAAACGGCGGCCGUAACUAUAACGGUCCUAAGGUAGCGAAAUUCCUUGUCGGGUAAGUUCCGACCUGCACGAAUGGCGUAAUGAUGGCCAGGCUGUCUCCACCCGAGACUCAGUGAAAUUGAACUCGCUGUGAAGAUGCAGUGUACCCGCGGCAAGACGGAAAGACCCCGUGAACCUUUACUAUAGCUUGACACUGAACAUUGAGCCUUGAUGUGUAGGAUAGGUGGGAGGCUUUGAAGUGUGGACGCCAGUCUGCAUGGAGCCGACCUUGAAAUACCACCCUUUAAUGUUUGAUGUUCUAACGUGGACCCGUUACCCGGGUUGCGGACAGUGUCUGGUGGGUAGUUUGACUGGGGCGGUCUCCUCCUAAAGAGUAACGGAGGAGCACGAAGGUUGGCUAAUCCUGGUCGGACAUCAGGAGGUUAGUGCAAUGGCAUAAGCCAGCUUGACUGCGAGCGUGACGGCGCGAGCAGGUGCGAAAGCAGGUCAUAGUGAUCCGGUGGUUCUGAAUGGAAGGGCCAUCGCUCAACGGAUAAAAGGUACUCCGGGGAUAACAGGCUGAUACCGCCCAAGAGUUCAUAUCGACGGCGGUGUUUGGCACCUCGAUGUCGGCUCAUCACAUCCUGGGGCUGAAGUAGGUCCCAAGGGUAUGGCUGUUCGCCAUUUAAAGUGGUACGCGAGCUGGGUUUAGAACGUCGUGAGACAGUUCGGUCCCUAUCUGCCGUGGGCGCUGGAGAACUGAGGGGGGCUGCUCCUAGUACGAGAGGACCGGAGUGGACGCAUCACUGGUGUUCGGGUUGUCAUGCCAAUGGCACUGCCCGGUAGCUAAAUGCGGAAGAGAUAAGUGCUGAAAGCAUCUAAGCACGAAACUUGCCCCGA